rnacentral:rRNA from 1 species
CCUACGGGUGGCAGCAGUGAGGAAUAUUGGUCAAUGGACGAGAGUCUGAACCAGCCAAGUAGCGUGAAGGAUGACUGCCCUAUGGGUUGUAAACUUCUUUUAUAUGGGAAUAAAAUGUUCCACGUGUGGGAUUUUGUAUGUACCAUAUGAAUAAGGAUCGGCUAACUCCGUGCCAGCAGCCGCGGUAAUACGGAGGAUCCGAGCGUUAUCCGGAUUUAUUGGGUUUAAAGGGAGCGUAGGUGGAUUGUUAAGUCAGUUGUGAAAGUUUGCGGCUCAACCGUAAAAUUGCAGUUGAAACGGGCAGUCGUGAGUACAGUAGAGGUGGGCGGAAUCCGGGGUGGUGGGGUGAAAUGUUGAGAUAUCACGAAGAACUCCGAGUGCGAAGGAAGCUCAUUGGACUGCAACGGACACUGAGGCUCAAAAGUGUGGGUAUCAAACAGGAUUAGAUACCCCAGUAGUC